rnacentral:rRNA from 1 species
UAACUGUAAACGAUGCGGACUUGGUGUUGGGGUGGCUUUGAGCUGCUUCAGUGCCGAAGGGAAGCUGUUAAGUCCGCCGCCUGGGAAGUACGGUCGCAAGACUGAAACUUAAAGGAAUUGGCGGGGGGAGGCACCACAACACGUGGAGCCUGCGGUUUAAUUUGGAUUCAACGCCGGACAUCUCACCAGAGGCGACAGCUGUAUGAUAGCCAGGUUGAUGACUUUGUCUUGACUAGCUGAGAGGAGGUGCAUGGCGUCAGUGACUGU